AGUUACAGAAAGAACCCACUGCAGGGCGUCCAGUCACUUGCCCAGUGAAAAGACUGUAAUCAGACAACUUUAAUAAAGGGAGAGCAGGAGAGUGGUGACGAAUUUCCACAUUCCGAACAAGCUUGUCGAAAGAGGAGUGCAGGGAAGGAGCAAGAAUGAGGCACUGGAAGACGGCUGUAGGCGCAUGAUGUCACAAGUUAUUGGAAGAAAUCCCUCCAACCUAGGUUGGGACAGAUGAAGGCGGCGCUUAUUGGUGUUCACCAAAACACCAGCAUGGUGUACCAGCUUUGGCUAGAUGAUGCUCAGGAGGAUCUCAUUUCUGUACCCUGCCCUGGAAGUUGGCAAAAAAACACCAGAGACUGGGUAAUUAAUAAAAAGAAGAAAUUGAUCUGGCCUACAGUUCUGGAGCCUUGGAAGUCCGAGAUCAAGGAGCUGCAUCUGGGUUCUAGGAUGCCUCAUAAAGGCCCGUAGUGUACUUUCUGUCUACUUCACUUAGCUCCGCAUUUGCAAUUUCUGUUAACAUGCAUACAGUUGAAUGGAUGGCCAGGAUCAAAGCUAUCUGCUGUGAGACACAAUGAGAAAUGCUUUUGUGUAAAGAUAAAUACCUGGAGUGGGAUUGCUAGAUCACAUGGUAAAUAUGUAUUUAAAUUUAUGAGAAACUGCCAAAGUAUUUUCCAAAGUAAUAGUAACAUUUUACACUCCUACCAGGACUGUCUGAGAGUUCCAGGUGCUCCACAUCCUUACUGACAC
rnacentral:lncRNA from 10 species